GAUGAACGCUGGCGGCGUGCCUAAUACAUGCAAGUCGAGCGAACAGACGAGGAGCUUGCUCCUCUGACGUUAGCGGCGGACGGGUGAGUAACACGUGGAUAACCUACCUAUAAGACUGGGAUAACUUCGGGAAACCGGAGCUAAUACCGGAUAAUAUAUUGAACCGCUGGGUUCAAUAGUGAAAGCCGGUUUUGCUGUCACUUUUAGAUGGAUCCGCGCCGCAUUAGCUAGUUGGUAAGGUAACGGCUUACCAAGGCAACGAUGCGUAGCCGACCUGAGAGGGUGAUCGGCCACACUGGAACUGAGACACGGUCCAGACUCCUACGGGAGGCAGCAGUAGGGAAUCUUCCGCAAUGGGCGAAAGCCUGACGGAGCAACGCCGCGUGAGUGAUGAAGGUCUUCGGAUCGUAAAACUCUGUUAUUAGGGAAGAACAAAUGUGUAAGUAACUAUGCACGUCUUGACGGUACCUAAUCAGAAAGCCACGGCUAACUACGUG
rnacentral:rRNA from 1 species